UACGUAGGGUCCGAGCGUUGUCCGGAUUUAUUGGGCGUAAAGAGCUCGUAGGCGGUUUGGCAAGUCGGGUGUGAAAACUCCGGGCUCAACUCGGAGACGCCACUCGAUACUGCUAUGACUCGAGUCCGGUAGGGGAGUGCGGAAUUCCUGGUGUAGCGGUGAAAUGCGCAGAUAUCAGGAGGAACACCCGUGGCGAAGGCGGCUCUCUGGGACGGUACUGACGCUGAGACGCGAAAGCGUGGGGAGCGAACAGG
rnacentral:rRNA from 1 species